AGAGAUGGGGUUUCUCCAUGUUGGUCAGGCUGGUCUUGAACCCCUAACCUCAGGUGAUCCACCUGCCUCAGCCUCCCAAAGUGCUGGGAUUACAGGUGUGAGCCACUGCGCCCAGCCGAGCUAUGUCUCUUAAAAUCAUAAAGUAGGCCAGGUGCAAUGGCUCAUGCCUAUAAUCCCAGCACUUUGGGAGGUUGAGGCAGGAGGAUUGCUUGAGCCCAGGAGCUUAAGACCAGUCUGGGCAACAUGGAGAGACCCGUUUCUAAUAAAAAAGAAAUAAACAAUGAAAAAUAAAAUUAUAAAGUAAAUUAAUCCCUAGCCUCCCUAAUGCAGAGAUCACUCACAAUAGUAUCCCAGUGUGAAGAGUGUAUAUUGAAAAUUAAUUAGUGAUGAAGGUAAUAGAACUGUGAUUGCACCUUUGAAAUCACCUUUGUAAAAAUUAUAACAGUGAAAAAGGGAUGACAAUGAAAGAGAUCUAACCAACUCCAUCUUUCCUUUAACAGCUCCAGACUGCCCUUGUUCAUUCCUGAGCAUAGACUGAGCUAACUGCAGGAGGAGUUUAGUUUAUAGUUUAACUUUGAAACAAAGAUGAUAACAACCCUUUCCCAUACCAAGCCCCCAUCUUGUCUGGGGACCAGAACACCUUUGUAAGACUAACAAAUUAGCCACAAGAUUAGAAAUUAUGGUUUAGGAGUCAUGCAGCCAGAAGCUACAAGAUUCCUAACCUCUCCAGUUGCUCCUAGGGAUUGCCUAACUAUUGAAAGAACUAAGAUUAGUGUUUGAGAUAUUUUUCAAAGUCUGCAUCAUUUAAUGCACCAGCUGGUGCCACCCAGACCAGUAAUCUGACUCAGCCAGUUCAGUGAUCCCACCCAGGAAUGGAAGACAGCAAGAACCCGCUUUGACCCCCUAUGAUUUCAUCCCCAACCCAACCAAUCAGCACUUCCCACUCCCUAACCCCCUACCCACCAAAUUAUUCUUUAAAAACUCAGUCUCCAAAUUUUGCAGGAGACUGAUCUGAGUAAUAAAACUCUGGUCUCCUGUUUAGUGGGUUCUGCAUACAUGAAACUCUUUCUCUAUUAAAACUUCCCUGUCUUCAUAAAUUGGCUCAGCCAGGCACAGUGGCUCAUGCCUGUAAUCCCAGCACUUUGGGAGGCCAAGGUGGGCAGAUUAUGAGGUCACGAGUUCGAGACCAGCCUGGCCAACAUGGUAAAACCCAGUCUCUACUAAAAAAAAAAAUUAGCUGGGCAUGGUGACAGGCACCUGUAAUCCCAGCUACUUGGGAGGCUGAGGCAGGAGAAUUGUUUGAACCUGGGAGGCAGAGAUUGCAGUGAGCCAAGAUCAUGGCAUUGCACUCCAGCCUGGGUGACAGGGCAAGACUCCGUUUCAAAAUAAAUAAAUAGGCUCUAUCUGGGCAGCAGGCAAGGAGAACCUAUUGGGCACUUACACUUUUAGGGGAAAAAAAGAAAAAAGGAGGAAGAUUUUUCACUUUACCCGUUGAAUUAUCAGGAUUCUUACUGGCAUGUGACAAAAAUUAGUUUGAGCCAGCUUAGUCAAAGAUGUAAAUUUAUUGGCUCACAUAACCUGACAAAGAUUAUUUAUUUGACCAAUCCUCAAACUCCUGGACCUUCUCCUAGGCUCAUCUGUGUACUUCCUUAUGAAAUCUAGUUUUAGCAAGAACUGUGCUAAGUCUGUUAAGCAAGAACCCCCCACCCUGGAUAUCUGAUACUUCUAUAUCAUAUUGGGUUCCUCAUCUUUCAGCAUCCUGCAAGGGAUGUCUGAUCACCCUGGUCUGUCUUCAGCAAGAAUCCUGUUAGGUCAGUUUAGCCAAAAUCCCCCUUGCCCUUGAUGUUUCCUCUUAGUGAUUUUCAACCCACUGACCCCCGCCCUUCUCCUUGGCUAUAAAUUUCUACUUGUCCUUGCUGUACUGGAAGUUGAAUUCAAUCUCUGUACCCUACUGAAAAAUCGCAUUGCAGUAGUCCCUACAUGUAGGGUGAUGGUUUGAAUAAAGUCUGCCUUUAACAAGAGUCAUUGAAUUUUUUUUACUUUAAAGAACCAAACAGCCUGGAUGCGGUGGCUCAUGCCUGUAAUCCCAACACUGGGAGGCCGAGGCGGGCAGAUCAUGAGGUCAGGAGAUUGAGACCAUCCUGGCUAACAUGGUGAAACCCCAUGUCUACUAAAAAUACAAAAAAUUAGCCAGGCGUGGUGGCACACGCCUGUAGUCCCAGCUACUUGGGAGGCUGAGGCACGAGAAUCACUUGAACUUGGGAGGUGGAGGUUGCAGUGAGCCGAGAUUGUGCCACUGCACUCCAGCCUAGGCGACAAAGCAAACUCCAUCUCAAAAAAAAAAAAAAAAAAGAAAAAAAAAAGAACAGAAAAAAGAACCAAAUUUGCAGUGAGCUGUUAUUAUGUCACUGUACUCCAGCCUGGGUGACAGAGUUGAGACCGUGUCUCUAAAAAGAAAAAAAACAAACCAAACCACGGGACAGGCAAGGACAACUGUAAUAAAACCUUUCAUUUUCAGGUUGCUCCCUCCGCAUUGUUCUCUGCUUCUCUUGAUAGCUUCAGUUUUUUUCUCUCAACCUAGCUUGCUACAUAAGAGAUGUUAAGCCUUGGCUGGUCCAAAGCUGGUGAGUUAUUAAUAUCUCAACUGAUUGUUCAGAGGCAGUUAUAGAUCGAACUUCUUGUUCUCCUCUCUCCCUCCUUCUCACUACUACACUUGACUAGUCUUGAAGUUUAAAAAGAGAUGUUACAGUCCUCAGACCCACAUCCUCACAUGGACCUUGUGGAUAGAGUGAGAGUGGAUCAAUUCUCAACAAAAACAGGAGUGCUGUUUCUAGAAGAAAAGAAAAAUGUAGAGAGGGAAAAAAAUGUUCAAUAAAGUUUGUUCCUUGGCUGCACACCGCCCUCCGCCAUCACCCACACUCAUAGACAUACGCUUUAUCCCAUACAUACAGUUUCAAAACUUCCUUGUCUAGCCACUAUGUGGCCACCCGUAUUCUUGUCCCAGCUCCAGAAUCUUUAUGUCAUGUCAAUUCAUGGUCAGGAUGGAUGAAUUUCCUUACUUCAUUACAACCUACAAAUAAACAAUAAAUCUGAAUAUUCUCAAUGCACCAACAUAUACAAUGGUGGAGAAAAAAAUAAGCAUUACUUCAAAAGGAAUGUCCAAAAGGGGAAAAUGGAAAACUACACUGAGAGCGUAGACCACUUCUUUCUGGAGAGGGAUAGCAUGUAUUUUGUAGACUCACUUAAACCAUUCAACCUUGGAGAGAGUUUUGUAGAGGAUACAAUGAAGGUUCUAAAUGUCUACAGAUAUCCUAGUUCAAUGGGAAGAAUCACAAAUUUAUAGAUAGGUUACAGUUGCUGCAGUUUACGUAUGGUGACUUUUUGAGCCCCAAACUUUUCAGAGACUGCUUGGACAUUACUGAAUCCAGUGGCAUUUAAAUUAAGUGGAGAUUAGAAAAGCAAAGGAAAAAAGUGAAGGAAAGAAGAAAGGAAGAAAAGAUGGGCCCAAAAAAAGGAAACAAUGACUUGUUAUCUUUUACAAUGAUGGGCAUCUUAACUUGACUUUUUUAACAACACAUUAUUUUAUUGUAUGCAAGAUUUUAGGCAGAUUGAAGUACAGGGCAAAUAAACUUCUAUUUUAUUUAUUUAUUUAUUUAUUUUUAAAAUUUCCUUUGUUCAAAUGGAGUCUCAGUCUGUUGCCCAGGCUGCUCUGGAACCCCUAGGCUCAAACAAUCCUCAGCCUUGCGAAGUGCUGGGAUUAUAAGCAUGAGCCACUGCAUCCGGCCUAAAGAAACUUCUAAAAGAAAAAUAGGAAAUCCUUCUUUUUAUCAAGGAAAUUCCUUCGUGUUCUUUCUUUAUUUUUAUGAAGUAACAAAUUUAAAAAAUUGUUGGUCAGUAUGAAUAUUGACCAAAAAAAAGCAAAUCCAUGAAAUAGCUAUUAUCAAAAGAGCAUCUUGAAAAAAAAGAGAUAUGUUAAGGUGGCAGCAGAGGCAAGCAGAUGAACAGUACAGUCAAUUAUUUCUUUCUAGAUUGACCCCUUUGGUUUUUAGAUGUAAG
rnacentral:lncRNA from 1 species